rnacentral:rRNA from 1 species
GAUGAACGCUGGCGGCGUGCCUAAUACAUGCAAGUCGAGCGAACAGACGAGGAGCUUGCUCCUCUGACGUUAGCGGCGGACGGGUGAGUAACACGUGGAUAACCUACCUAUAAGACUGGGAUAACUUCGGGAAACCGGAGCUAAUACCGGAUAAUAUAUUGAACCGCAUGGUUCAAUAGUGAAAGACGGUUUUGCUGUCACUUAUAGAUGGAUCCGCGCCGCAUUAGCUAGUUGGUAAGGUAACGGCUUACCAAGGCAACGAUGCGUAGCCGACCUGAGAGGGUGAGCAGCCACACUGGAACUGAGACACGGUCCAGACGCCUACGGGAGGCAGCAGUAGGGAAUCUUCCGCAAUGGGCGAAAGCCUGACGGAGCAACGCCGCGUGAGUGAUGAAGGUCUUCGGAUCGUAAAACUCUGUUAUUAGGGAAGAACAAAUGUGUAAGUAACUAUGCACGUCUUGACGGUACCUAAUCAGAAAGCCACGGCUAACUACGU